rnacentral:tRNA from 1 species
AUCUCAGUAGUUUAAUUAGAAUGUUAACUUGUGGCGUUAAUGGUGAGUUUUCUUGGGGUA